rnacentral:lncRNA from 1 species
CUGAUUAUCACUAAUUAUCCACAACUGACUUAAAAGCCUUAAAGUGCGUUUAAAUUUCCUCUUUUGUUUAAAAACACUGUGUCUAUGAUUAUUACAUAGUCUAUAUGUAUAUAUAUUUAUAUUUAUUUACAAGCGUUCGACCAGCAUAUAUUUUAAAGCAUAUUCAACUAAACUUCUACCUUUCAUAUUCUCGACUACAAGCUUGUCUUUGCAAUUCUGUUUAUUUCAAUCUUAGGCCUAAGUUUCCCUGGCUUUUAGCGUCAAAACGACAUCUGUACCGAGGCAAAAAGGGACCAAAAAGGGUUAGAAAAUGCUAGUUUACCAUCUACGGUAAAUGGAGGUGGUUGUAUGGAUAAUAUUGAACUGGAUAAUGAUUUUACAACUUUCUAAAAAUUAACAAUUGAUCGGUAUAACCUGCACUAAAAAAGUUUGGUAUUAGAUCCAUAUAUAUUUCAGUGAGCUAUAUAUAUAUAUAUAUAUAUAUAUAUAUAUAUAUAUAUUAGUUUAGUUGUAAAUGGUUAGUUUAUUUUGAAAAAUCGCUUUUCACAUUGUUUUAAUUGUCUGCAUUGGUUAACGAGAAUUAGAUGCCACCAAAAAAUAGCAGAUAAUCGUCAUCGUCAGAAAGGCUAAUACGUCCAAUAUAGCUUUGAAGGUCGUAAUCCCAUUUUUCGAGCUAAUACCAGUUUCUUAUAUAGGACCGAAUGGCUAACCCAAUUAUCAGCUCGUAAAACCAUGGUACUAUUCUCUAAAUCGGAGCUCAGCACACUCCUUGCAAACCGCGCAGAUAAAAGCAAUAGAAAGGGACUGAAGCUGACGUCCAAUAGCUCCGUCUUUGGCUUCAGUCUUUGGACUCGAGUUCUCGCUCUAGAUAAAUAUGGAGUCACUGAUAUAUUCGUAGUUUCAUAGCUUUCUGGCCGUCUUCCCAGAGGUUGUAAAACGGUGGAUUCGGUGGAUUUCCACGGUCUGUGAAAAUAUGAAAUCACUGUUCACACAAUUCUUGUUCGGGUAUGUUCAUUCCAUAUUUAAGCUGCGCGUGUGGUUCGCCAAGAACUUCAAAUUAUUUUGCAGCACCAUUUCGAUACACCAAACCAAUAAAAAUUCACGAACUCAAGGAAACGAUUCCCAAAAUUUCACGGAAGCAAAAAAUAACGCCUAUUUCAUUCCCCUAAAUCCGCCAUUCCUUCAUAAACCCUUCGUCAACCCUUCGUCAACGUACGGUACCUCGAGACGCUAUAUACACCGUGGCGGGAGAGAAGAACCCUUCCCGGUUUUCAUUUCUCGUCGAGACUGGCGACAAGGCAUCGUCCAGUUUCUUAAUGUAUAUGACAUGAAAUUUCUUAUUUUCUUAAAUGAAAGAACUGUUUAAGCUGUAGUGUAACUUAUUUUUCAGUUUCUUGUUUUUAUUGUUUGUUCCCGAGAUAUUUCAAUUUGUUUGAUAUGUAAAUGAGUGUGAAUAUGUCCGCUAAUUUAUGACGUCAUGUUGGUUGCAAGCUCUACAAAAUGGUUGAAUAUCACUGCUAUCAUACAAGAUGAUAAUUUCAAACUUCACUCACUGGUAAAUGUGAUGAAACACUGGAGAAAAACGUGAACUGAUAUCUACAGUUUUUAGAGUUAAUAGAUUUCUAACCAAUGUAAGUUGAGCUUGCAACCAAAGUGACGUCAUAAAUUAGCGGACAUAUUCACACUAAUUUACAUAUCAAACAAAUUGAAAUGUCUCGGAAACAAACCAUAAAAUCAUGAAACUAAAAAAUAAGUCACACUACAGCUUAAAGAGUUCUUUCAUUUAAGAAAAUAAGAAAUUUCAUGUCAUACGCACUUUAAACAGACCAGUGUCUAUCUUCAUAUUUCAUUCCAUUUACCUUAACCAUCAUUAUGCAUUCAACUGACCAUAAUUUGCCAUUUCGUCGUCAUUUCCCCAACAUAUUAAUAUAUCUACAGCGUUCGCCAUCGUCCUUUGUGCCAUUAUUGUCUUAGAUAUGUUUUAUUUUGUUUGAGCUUCUAACCAUCAGACGUCCCCACAGCCAC